AUGGACAAAAAAUAGGGUUAGGGUCAGAAGAGAUGUGAAGAAAUAGUCGAGAAUUGAGCAGAUCAAGAUUUCUUUGUUUGCUUCGCAUUCCGAAAACAAUAUAUUUUAAUUUCCUCCACUGUGCCGGGUUUAGGGAUUGGAGCAGAUUAAUUAAUGAGGUUGGCAUGGCAUACGCAUAUGCAUAUCGAAAUCAUCCUCUACCAAAUCUCACACACAGGACUCUUAAGAGGUUGGGCAGCACCAAUAGUGAAGAUGGUAUCAUAAUUUUUCAAAAGCUUUGAGAGGAUCAUUGAAGUCUAUUUCUGAAAAAAGUGGGAGAUCAGCAGUCAGGUGCAGCCCAUCACUGCAAACAAAUGGACAGAUUUCUCUUUCAAGAAUGAAAAUACUACAGAUUCCCAUAUCAAGAGCAAGGAGA